rnacentral:rRNA from 1 species
AUGCCUACGGGGGGCAGCAGUGGGGGAUAUUGCACAAUGGGGGGAACCCUGAUGCAGCGACGCCGCGUGGGUGAAGAAGUAUCUCGGUACGUAAAGCUCUAUCAGCAGGGAAGAAAAUGACGGUACCUGACUAAGAAGCCCCGGCUAACUACGUGCCAGCAGCCGCGGUAAUACGUAGGGGGCAAGCGUUAUCCGGAUUUACUGGGUGUAAAGGGAGCGUAGACGGCACUGCAAGUCCGGAGUGAAAGCCCACGGCUUA